rnacentral:sRNA from 1 species
AUUUUGAGCCCAAUUUCGGUGAAUCAUUCAAGAUCCCUUGGACUUGUUUGGAGUCAUCUGUGGUGAAGUCCGAUCGGGAAGAAAUGGUGGUCCGGUCUUGAAUACCUCUUGUCUUCUCAGUUUUGUUGGGCACUCGAUCCUCAUUAGAUUUCUCGGGUUCUCCAUCUUCAGCUGUCAUCGUGUUGGGAUGCGUUUGGAGUCUCUGUACCGUGGGUUGGACAAAUUUCUGGCGGAGCCUUGCAGCAUACCUUCGAGUCAUUGACGCGCCUAGGCGAUCCCGUAGUUCUCGGUGAAUAUAUGGAUAUAGUAUCGUGACCGACUCCCAGCAUAACUCCUGAAAUGUCAGGAAAUCAGGAUGUAAUUUAGCCUGUAAAGGUCAUCGACGCCCUUAACUACAUAUUGAACUUCCUCGGCUUCCUCGGAGAUGAGGUCCCUCAGAGAUUUCUUUUCUCGUUCAUUCACUUCAGUCUGUGGAUGAGUACCGCCAUCGCUGGUCCCGUGGAUACGAUUCAGCACUACAGCCUGUCAGCGAAAUAUUCCUCUUCCAAUAGGUCUUCCGAACUUACGUCUUGCUAUACAGUCUGACAGGACCAUCAGGUG